rnacentral:rRNA from 1 species
GAUGAACGCUGGCGGCGUGCCUAAUACAUGCAAGUCGAGCGAACGGACGAGACGCUUGCUUUUCUGAUGUUAGCGGCGGACGGGUGAGUAACACGUGGAUAACCUACCUAUAAGACUGGGAUAACUUCGGGAAACCGGAGCUAAUACCGGAUAAUAUUUUGAACCGCAUGGUUCAAAAGUGAAAGACGGUCUUGCUGUCACUUAUAGAUGGAUCCGCGCUGCAUUAGCUAGUUGGUAAGGUAACGGCUUACCAAGGCAACGAUGCAUAGCCGACCUGAGAGGGUGAUCGGCCACACUGGAACUGAGACACGGUCAAGACGCCUACGGGAGGCAGCAGUAGGGAAUCUUCCGCAAUGGGCGAAAGCCUGACGGAGCAACGCCGCGUGAGUGACAAAGGUCUUCGGAUCGUGAAACUCUGUUAUUAGGGAAGAACAUAUGUGUAAGUAACUGUGCACAUCUUGACGGUAACUAAUCAGAAAGCCACGGCUAACUACGUG